rnacentral:lncRNA from 1 species
GUUCUUUCUCUGGUUUCUCUGUUUUCUCUCUCAAAUGACUGGGAUAUGGUUUACUUUCUUUGAGCUUGAUGUUUGAUUAAAUACACAAAAGCUUACUGCUCGUCCCACCAAUUGGCAUUUCGUUCAUCACUCAUGAAACGAGGUUUUGCCUGAUAAUUUCUUGAGUUCUUGCUCUGUUUUAUCUAUUUCAUUCCCCAUACUUUUGUCAUCCAUCUUGCCUGAUAAUUGUGAAAAUGCCUUGGACUGUGUAUCAUCCUUUGUGGACUAUGUAUCACCCCUUUGAGAAAACUUUGGCUGCUCCUAAUCUGGAAAUGAAUGUCACUUGAACUUAUUUGGACUGAAAAUAAGGGUUUGGUUGGCAUGGUCAUUGGUUUUCAUAUGAGCCCGGUUUCUGGAUUUGAGUAGAUAAUGUUGCUUUGCUCAUAGAGUUGCUUGGUCGCUCUGCUCAGAAAUAAUGACUGCCAUAGCAGGGCAUUAAUGCCUUCUUUCAGCUGUUGAUAAUUCUGGAUACAUAUUCGAGCCUCAAC